AGUAGAUUUUUUUUUUUUUAAUUGUUAUUUGCAUGAAGUAUAUUGUAUUGGGCCAUGUGCAAUCAGUUUAUUAAUUGUCCAACCUUGAGAUGGAUGAAGAAAAAUGCGUUUUAGUAAUUCUUCCUGUGCAGUAAAAGGAUGUAUUUAACAUCCAUAUGAUUGUCUUACUGUUCUGAGAAAGUGUUUUUGGUUUUCCAUUUUUGUUUCAUUGUGAGCAAUGCAAUCAACUGGACAAUUAUGUGUGUGAUGAUUAAUCUCAAUGCUAAUGAGUGGAAGAAUGUGUUUCUGGGUUAAACCUUCCAUAUUUUUUCCAUGUAAAAAAAUUAGUAGAUGAUGUAUGAUUUCUUUGCAUGAGAUGACUGGUGACAGUAUUCUAAAUCUCCUGUCUUGUUUUGUUUCAGACGAUCGAGUGCCAAGUGAACUGA
rnacentral:misc_RNA from 1 species